rnacentral:rRNA from 1 species
AGAAUCAACGCUGGCGGCGUGCCUAACACAUGCAAGUCGAACGAGAAAGUGGAGCAAUCCAUGAGUAAAGUGGCGCACGGGUGAGUAACACGUGACUAACCUACCUUUUAGUGGGGGAUAACCUAGGGAAACCUGGGCUAAUACCGCAUAAUACCUACGGGUCAAAGCAGCAAUGCGCUGAAAGAGGGGGGUCGCGGUCGAUUAGUUAGUUGGCAGGGUAAUGGCCUACCAAGACUGUGAUCGAUAUCCGGCCUGAGAGGGCGCACGGACACACUGGAACUGAAACACGGUCCAGACUCCUACGGGAGGCAGCAGUGGGGAAUUUUGCGCAAUGGGGGAAACCCUGACGCAGCAACGCCGCGUGGAGGAUGAAGUCCCUUGGGACGUAAACUCCUUUCGAUCGGGACGAUAAUGACGGUACCGGAAGAAGAAGCCCGGCUAACUUCGUGCCAGCAGCCGC